AACGAACGCUGGCGGCGCGCCUAACACAUGCAAGUCGAACGAGAAUCCGGGGCAACCCGGUAGUAAAGUGGCAAACGGGUGAGGAAUACAUGGGUAACCUACCCUUGAGAAGGGAAUAACCCGCCGAAAGGUGAGCUAAUACCCUAUACGCUAUCUUUUUUUCGAAAAGGAUAGGAAAGCCGGGUCGAGGACCUGGUACUCAAGGAGGGGCUCAUGUCCUAUCAGCUUGUUGGUGGGGUAACGGCCUACCAAGGCUACGACGGGUAGCUGGUCUGAGAGGAUGAUCAGCCACACUGGCACUGAGAUACGGGCCAGACUCCUACGGGUGGCAGCAGUGAGGAAUAUUGCGCAAUGGGCGAAAGCCUGACGCAGCGACGCCGCGUGGGGGAUGAAGGUUUUCGGAUUGUAAACCCUUUCAUGAGGAAAGAUAAAGUGGGUAACCACUUAGACGGUACCUCAAGAAGAAGCCACGGCUAACUUCGUG
rnacentral:rRNA from 1 species